rnacentral:rRNA from 1 species
UACGAAGGGGGCUAGCGUUGCUCGGAAUGACUGGGCGUAAAGGGCGCGUAGGCGGACGGCUUUGUCGGGCGUGAAAUUCCAGGGCUUAACCUUGGGGCUGCGUUCGAGACGGGUUGUCUAGAGUUUGGAAGAGGGUCGUGGAAUUCCCAGUGUAGAGGUGAAAUUCGUAGAUAUUGGGAAGAACACCGGUGGCGAAGGCGGGUCUCUGGGCCGAUACUGACGCUGAGGAGCGAAAGCGUGGGGAGCGAACAGG